UACGUAGGGGGCAAGCGUUGUCCGGAAUCAUUGGGCGUAAAGCGCGUGUAGGCGGCCAGAAAAGUCCGCUGUGAAAACUCGAGGCUCAACUUCGAGCUGUCGGUGGAAACUUUCUGGCUAGAGUCCGGAAGAGGAGAAUGGAAUUCCUGGUGUAGCGGUGAAAUGCGUAGAUAUCAGGAGGAACACCGGUGGUGUAGACGGCUCUCUGGACCGUAACUGACGCUGAAACACGAAAGCGUGGGUAGCAAACAGG
rnacentral:rRNA from 1 species